GGUUGUGGCUCAGCGGCAGAGCGCUCGCCUAGCACGUGUGAGGCCCUGGGUUUGAUCCUUAGCACCA
rnacentral:tRNA from 1 species